AUAGACUUUGACGAAGACAGACCUGUUUUUGUGAGCUCUGAAAAAAAAUUGACUUUGAAAUAUUUUUUACUAUGAAAAAGAUUUGAGUAUUACUGACUUGUACUUUGAGAGUUAAAUUGACUUCGCGUUAUAGAAUAUGACUUGGUACUCGGGUUAUUGAAUGACUGGUGGACUUUAGUGUUAGGUUAUUGUUAUGAGAUGACGACUUGACUUUGACUUGAGUUGUGUGCAAUUAAAUUUGUGUUGUGGUGUGAAUCGAUUGACUGUCAGUUGAAGUUCAGAUGUCGUGCUGUGUGGAUGGGUUUCUACAAAACGUGAGUACAAACUUUUGUGUUUGACUGUUGACGUGUCUCACUGUGUAUGAUGAUUUAUGAUGAUUUUAAGCGGCUGGCGUAUUAUUGCUGAGUUGUUGUACUGAUAGAGAAGUGAAAUGAGUUGGGUAUAAAUUACUCAGUACUGAUAUAGUGUCGAUAUGUUGUGAUGAGAGAUGAUGGUGUUACAAAAUAUUUACUGAGCUACUUUGGGAAACGAACAGAUGAUGUAAAAACAUUGGAAACAUAUUUCAUGAAAAUGCAUGUGCUUAUAUGUACUAAAUAUGAUAUUGCUUUACUUGUAUUUGCAUGCUGUUAACAUUUCUAUUUUAUUCCAGUGGGCUGUGGUGAGUAUUGCAGAUUUAACUUGUAUGUGUGGUUUUUAGUUAACGAUGCUUAAUGAAAACUGUUAUUGUACACUUAGUAUGGAAUGAUGUGAAUGAUGAUAUGAUGGGUAGAAUUAAUCAGUGCUUGUGUCUAGAAAUGCUGAAUGUUUAUUGAAAAGGCUAAAUGCUAGCCAGUACUAAGAGUUGAGCUACCGUGGGAAUGUGAAACGAACUGAUGGUGUAAUAUGAUGGUGUAUUGACAUACUUUUCUUAUAUGUACUAAAUAUGAUAUUGCUUUACUUGUAUUUGCAUGCUGUUAACAUUUCUAUUUUGUUCCAGUGUGCUGUGGUGAGUACUGUAGAUAUUACUUGAUUUUUAGUGUCUAUGAAUGCUGAUGUAUGAUAGCUAUAGCAUGAGCUCAAUGCUAACCAGUAUUAUGAGUUGAUGUAUUGUGGUGAUGCUAAUCGAACUGAUGAUGUAACAUGAUGGUGAACACUUACUGAAUGCAUAAAAUUUAUUGAAUUGCGUUUGUUGAUAUGCACUAUAAUAUGAUAAAUGUAUUGCUUAACAUGUAUAUUUCAUGAUGUUUAAUUUCAGUGGGCUGUGGUGAGUACUGUAGAUUGUAUUGCCUAUGUAUAGAAUUCAAUAAAAGAUUAUGACUGAAAACUGCUUUUGAUUCUUUUUGAACAGUUUUAGGGACUAUAAGUCUAUAACAAAAAUAUGUCGGUUGGCGUUCAUACAGCAAUGUUUUGAGUAGUACAGAAAUGUUUCUACGUUUGUGGUCGCCAGUUGUCUGUGAUGUGUAAAGUGAAAAAUACACGGAGCUUUGAAUACAACAAACAUUUACUGUUUUAACACAGAUUGUGUGCUAUGCAUUUUUCGAUGUAGAUCUUUUUCAGAUUUGACAUGAAAUGUAGACCUGACAUUUGAACAGAGCUGGGAAACGAAAAGGUAAGUUUGUUAAAUUUCACAAUGAACACUUGUGUUUUGACAAAAGAAGAGAUAAAGUGAGUUUUGUCAUCAUCAUGGUUUCUUUCAGAGUAUAACUCGUGAACAGAUGAAAACCUAUUUUUUGCUAGAUUUUCAUGUACUCUUUUUUUGGAUGAUAAGUAUGUCAGUAACUCAAAAUCAUACGGCUAGUACAGUAUGGAACAUGAAUGCUUUGUUCAGAUUUUCAGAUGUGUGCUGGCAGUUUAAGUCUGGCAGCUGAAGUGAACAGUCGUGUUUUCUGGAGCUCCAACAAUAUGCUAGAAGGUAAGUAACUAUGUUUGUUUUGCAUUGCAUGUUUUUAUAUGUUUCAGACUUUCAAGCAGAGAUGUCAUGCUGACUGGAGUUGAGCACAGGGCAGUGACAAAGUGAAAGGUAAGUACUUUUGACUGAAUGUUUGUUCUAUGCAUGUUUUGUUUCAAUACAUUUCAGGAGUGCUUAUCCAGUGAUGAUAUGACAGUUGGAGUGAACAGUGGAGCCAAGCAGUCUUGUUUUUGGAGCUACUCAACAAGCCUUGAAGGUAAGUUUAGAAUUUCUCAAUGUUAGUGAAUUGAAGUACUGUCACUUGCUUUUGGACAGUCGAACAGAACAGACGUGGUUGCGAGAGCUCUCAUAUCUGUUGUGUUAAACUGUUUUUAUGAUAUGUUAUGUUUGUUUGUUUGUUUGUGAUGUACUAUUUUUCAGAUGCUGAUGGCAGUGAUGGGUUUUCAAGCUGACCUGAACAGAAAAGCACUCAUAUGGUAAGUACAAAAUAGUUGUUAUAUGGGAUGUUUUGUGCAUGCUUCUAUGUUUCAGGUGUACUUGCUGACAGCGACGAAGACGAUACGAGAAGAGGAACAUUGUUGAGAAUGUGAUUGGGACUUGCAAACAGGAUUCGAGUCACUGGUUUACACAUGGAAGAAGAUUUCCACGUCUGUUACUCAACUCUACAGAAGCAAGGUAAGUCGAUCAAUUUUUUGUUUUAAUUUGUACUGCUGUAAUGUGAUGGUAAACUUAUGCUAUUUUUUAUGUGUGUCAUGUACAGAUGGAUAAUUCAAGUUUGAUCUGUGUUGGUUUAUGUUCAAAAACGUUUUACAUGUAUGUGUGUUUCCAGAUGUUUUGUUUCAGUUGAUGUCCAGAUGGCAAGCAGAACAGACGUGUUUCUUGGAUCUGCCAAACAGUGAGUACAAACGUUUUAUAUUUUUCAGUUGUUUACUCAUAGAAGUCUGUGAAAGAUGAUAACAAGGGUUGAAUCUAUCAGCACUUGUGUCUAAAAAUGCUGAUGUGUGACGGUUUACUGAAAAGGGUAAAUGCUAGCCAGUACUUACACUUGAGCAACCGUGGGAUGUCGAACUAACUGAUGAUGUACUAUGAUGGUGAACACUUACUAUGUGUAUCAAAAUGCUUUUGUUGAUAUUUACUAUAGAUGAUUUGAUAUUGGUUAACAUUUGUUUGCAUACUGUUAACAUUUCUAUUUCAUUUCAGGGAGCUGUGGUAAGUAUUGUAGUAUUAAUUUGUCUCAAUAAACGAUGAUGAAUGAAAACUGAUGUCGAUUCUUUUUGUACAGUUUUAGGUAUUAGCACUCUAUACAAAACUCUGUCGGUCGGUGUUUGUGAAUGUGAGCUUAAUGUUUGAGUAGAACAAAAAUGUCUUUACUUUUGUGAUCGCCAGUUGUCUGUGAUGUAAAGUGGAAAAAACACAGCUAUGAAGCAUACAAUUGUUUCAAUAUUUUAUCAAUGAUAGUGUGCUAUGCAUGUUUUGAUUUAGUUCGUUUCAGAUAUGACAUGACAUGAAGAGUUGACAGUCGAACAGAGCUGAGCAAUGCAGAAAGGUAAGUGUGUUUCAUUUUAGUAUGAACACUUGUAUUUUGUUUUUAUAUGGUAUGUUUUGUGCAUGCUAUGUUUCAGGUGUACUUGUAGUCAGCGACGAAGACGAUUCAAGAAGAGGAACAUUGCUGAGAAAGUGAAUGGGACUUGCAAACAGGGUAAGUGUAACAAUUGUGUUUGUUUAAUUUGUAACAUGCGUGCUUUGCUCUGUUUCAGAUUUCACAUGCAGAAAUGGUCUCAUAGCAGUGCCAACAGUGAAUAAGGAUUUCAGCUGCUGUGAAACAACUCAACAGAAAGUAGGUAAGCAUUGAAUGAAUGCACUUGAGUUGUACAAUUUGAUGUGAUGCUUUUCUCUGUUUCAGAUUCAAGUUCCUGGUGUAGACAGAGAAAUGUGUUUGAAGAAGGAAUUCUACUACUGUGAUUCAACUCUACAGAAGCAAGGUAAGUAGAAACAAAAUUUUGGUUUAAUUUAACUCAUGUGUUUUGCACUGCAUGCUAUUUUUCAGGUCUCUCAUGCAGUGAUGGAAAAGAAGAAGAUUUCAAGAAAGAAUCACUGCUGCAACUCAGGCCUAUAACAAGGUAAGUGUUUACUAUAUUGUAUACAAAAUGUUUCUCUGUUUUACUCUGUUUCAGGUUUCAAUUGCAGAGAUGUUGCAGAGAUGUUUUGACAGCUUGUGGCAGAAAAGAAAUUCAGCAUCUGUUUCUCGACUCUAGCCACGAGGUAAGUCAAAACAAAUAUACUGGUUUGUAUGUAAUGUUGUUAUGCCCUUCUAUGUUUCAGACUUACAUUGCUGUGACUGUUCCACAGUGGGUCAAAAAAGAGACGAAUACAGGUUUCAAGAAGAAAAUUGGCUGUUAAAAACCUGCACAAAAUAUGAGGUAAGUAAACUACUCUUUUGGUUUGUUUUGUGCUUUGUUAUGCUUAACUAUUUUUCAGAUUGGAAUGGUGGGUCGUUACAGAGCAGACUUUUGGACUACUGAGAAGUUGAGAAACAGAGAAUGAUUCAAGAUCAGCUAGGUAAGUCUUGAUUAUUAUGCAUUGCUAAAUGUUUUUUUCAUUCCAGUAUGGCUGUGGUAAGUACACAAACUUUCUAUAAUUUAAUAUUGAACUGUUUUUAUGACCUGUAUUCUGCAUUGUAAAAUGUCUGUUUUUCAUUUCAGUAUCCUGUGGUAAGUACACUAACUUUGUAUAAUUUCAUAUUGAAAUGUUUUGAUGACUUGUAUCCUGCUAUGCAAUGCUUAAUAUAUUUUUCAUUUCAGUGUGGCUGUGGUAAGUACAAUUGCCUUCUUUAAUUUUCAUAUUGAACUGUUUUGAUGAUUUGUAUACUGCUAUGCAAUGCUUAUUGUUUUUUACAUUUCAGUGUGGCUGUGGUAAGUACACUAACUUUCUUUAAUUUUCAUAUUGAACUGUUUUGAUGACUUGUAUACUGCAUUGUAAAAUGUGUUUCUUUUUCAUUUCAGUAUGGCUGUGGUAAGUACAAUUGCCUUCUUUAAUUUUCAUAUUGAACUGUUUUGAUGACUUUUAUUCUGCCAUACAAAAUGUGUUUUUUUUCAUUUCAGUUGCCUGUUGGUAAGUACAAUUUGCUUUCUUUAAUUGCAUAUUGAAAUAUGUUUUAUGACUUUUAUUCUGCUAUGCUUUUUUCAUUUCAGUUUGGCAGAUGUAAGUACACUUCAUUUAUGUAAAAACUGAAUAUGAUUGUUGUGCUAUACAAAAUGUGCUUUUUUCAAUUUCAGGUCAGCAAUGGUAAGUAGAUUGUGUUUCUUUAUGUAUAAUUUUGUAUACAUAUUGUUUUUUUCAUCAUAGCAUGUCUUUUAUAUUUAUGCUUUGUGUAAGUAAAAUGUUCAUAAAUCAUUCUUAUCUUCAAACUAAAAAUGUAUUGUGCUAUGCAAAAUGUCUGUAUGAUUUCAGUUGCCAGAGGUGAGUACCAUUACAGUUGAAAAGUUAGUUUUGUUUAGUUAAAGUUUUGGUUCACAGUUCUGUUUAUUAUUUGGCAAAAUUUACAUGUAUGCAUUGAGUCUUGAUUUCAGCUCGAUUGUGGACUGAAGAAGAUUGCCAGCAGAGGGAUUGGAUACAAAAUACAAAGUAAGUACUGAGUUUCUUACUAAAAGUUUUGAGUUGUAUUCAUUGUGUGUUAAUAUGCUAUGAUUGCUAUGAACAUGACUUUUGUAUUUCAGCGAAGACAACAUAGGUAAGUAAAAUUGUUAUCUGUUUCAAGUUUACUGUUAUAGUUCAAUAUUGUGUUUAUAAAUUGUAAGUUGUACAAACACAUUCAAAAGUUUCUGAUCAUGCUUUCAAUUUCAUUUCAGCCCUACUACAAGACGAGUGUUUUCUACUACUAGACGUGUCAGGUUUACUUCCAGGCGAGCAGUGACAACAAGGCGCCUUUGUGGAAACAGCAAAACAAACAACUCUACUGCAAGACGAGCAGUAACAGCAAGGCGCCUGAACAUGCAACACAAUACAAAAAAUGCCAAUUUGCAAACCUUGAUGUGGACACCGAGUAGUCAAUACAUACGUGUGGCGUAUAGCUGCGACAAAACCGUGGGUCCAUCGCACCGAUAACUUGAACAUUGGCCCGUGUAUGGACAUCAGUGCAACUUUGUGAAUCCAUGUAUCUUUGUGAAUCCAUGUAACAUUGCGAAUGUGUGUCGAUCGAAAAAUGUGUACAUUCUGAACUGAAACGAACUCGGUGUUGCAAGUGGCAAGUGUUGACAGUGUGUAUGUUUAUGUUUAUGUUUUUACAUGAAAACUAAAGGAGAUUGUUCUCCUACCUUUUUUUUCCUUGUUUUAUUGCGCUGGCCAGCAAUAUUGAUGUAUUGAUGUAUGUGUUUGUGUUUAAACUAUGCAAUACCAAAAUCAAACAAAAAAUAAACAUUAACAGUCAUUAACUGUG